AUUGAACGCUGGCGGCAGGCCUAACACAUGCACGUCGAACGAGUGGCGGACGGGUGAGUAAUUUCUGGGAACCUGCCUGAUGGAGGGGGAUAACUACUGGAAACGGUAGCUAAUACCGCAUACCAUCAGAUGUGCCCCGCUGGGAUUAGUCAGUUGGUGGGGUAACGGUGCACCACGGCCACGAUCCCUAGCUGGUCUGAGAGGAUGACCAGCCACACUGGAACUGGGACACGGUCUAGACUCCUGCGGGGGGCAGCAGUGGGGAAUAUUGCACAAUGGGCGCAAGCUUGAUGCAGCCAUGCGGCGUGUAUGAAGAAGGCCUGCGGGUUGUAAAGUACUUUCAGCGGGGAGGCGUUACCCGCAGAAGAAGCACCGGCUAACUCCGUGCCAGCAGCCGCGGUAAUUC
rnacentral:rRNA from 1 species